UGGGUGUUCGACUUUAGAGUUGUUUUCCUGGAAGCGCUGAUACUGGACUUAGUGGAGGAGAACGACGGUAUCAAUGUGUUUCUGGAUGACUGCCUGGACAAGGGAGUUCAGCUUUUGGGAGACUGACUGGGCUAUGAAGUGUACCUUUCUACUCUGCAGAGGCUGGAAAGGCAAAAAUGAUGGCUAAGGCUUCCUUGCAGCCGCUGAUACAGAAGCCUGAGGGAACACACUCCCCCCUACGUCCUUCUCCAACACAGCAGAGCCAGGAAGGACCCGGAUGGAAGUUAGGACAAAGAGGCCCAGAAUUGGCACAGAUACCAACAGACCAUUCGUUGAAGAAGAAAUCCAAAUGGCCAUAAGGUCUUUAAGAUUCUGGAGGCCAAGAAUUUGACUCCCCCCGGAUCCAUGGUCUGUGGAUACCAAUGUUCCGACUGGAGACGGGGAGCCCGCGAGACCCGGGUCUCCAGGGUCUGCCCAAGGAAG
rnacentral:lncRNA from 1 species